rnacentral:tRNA from 1 species
AAAGAAUUAGUUAAUAAUAAUAUAACAUAAAUGUGUCAAAUUUAAAUUAUUACACCAAUAAUGUAAUAUUCUUUU